rnacentral:rRNA from 1 species
UACGAAGGGUGCAAGCGUUACUCGGAAUUACUGGGCGUAAAGCGUGCGUAGGUGGUUUGUUAAGUCUGUUGUGAAAGCCCCGGGCUCAACCUGGGAAAUGGCAAUGGAUACUGGCAAGCUAGAGUGCGGUAGAGGGUAGUGGAAUUCCCGGUGUAGCGGUGAAAUGCGUAGAGAUCGGGAGGAACACCAGGUGGCGAAGGCGGCUACCUGGACCAGCACUGACACUGAGGCACGAAAGCUG